GACGAACGCUGGCGGCGUGCCUAAUACAUGCAAGUCGAACGAACCGCGACUAAGUGCUUGCACUAAGUCAAGGUGAGUGGCGAACGGGUGAGUAACACGUGGGUAACCUACCUCAUAGUGGGGGAUAACAGUCGGAAACGACUGCUAAUACCGCAUAGGACAUAGGAUCACAUGAUCCAGUGAGGAAAGGUGGCGCAAGCUAUCGCUAAGAGAUGGACCCGCGGUGCAUUAGCUAGUUGGUAGGGUAAAGGCCUACCAAGGCGAUGAUGCAUAGCCGACCUGAGAGGGUGAUCGGCCACAUUGGGACUGAGACACGGCCCAAACUCCUACGGGAGGCGGCAGUAGGGAAUCUUCCGCAAUGGACGCAAGUCUGACGGAGCAACGCCGCGUGAGUGAAGAAGGUCUUCGGAUCGUAAAGCUCUGUUGUUAGAGAAGAACAGCGCAUAGAGUAACUGCUAUGCGUGUGACGGUAUCUAACCAGAAAGCCACGGCUAACUACGUG
rnacentral:rRNA from 1 species